UACGUAGGUGACCAGCGUUGUCCGGAUUUACUGGGCGUAAAGAGCGCGUAGGCGGUCCGAUAAGUCGGCUGUGAAAGUCAGGGGCUCAACCCUUGAAAGCCGGCCGAUACUGUCGGACUAGAGUCCGGAAGAGGCAAGUGGAAUUCCCGGUGUAGCGGUGAAAUGCGCAGAUAUCGGGAGGAACACCAAUGGCGAAGGCAGCUUGCUGGGACGGUACUGACGCUGAGGCGCGAAAGCUAGGGGAGCAAACAGG
rnacentral:rRNA from 1 species